CUGAUGGCACUACCUGAUGGCACUACCCUGAUGAUGUUAGCCAUGGCUGCUGGCCUCAACAUGGUAGCCCUCAUAAAUAAACUGAUAUCAAGAAGUAACAUAGAUGGUGACAAGGGUGGCAAGGGUGCCUCAUGGCAAGGAGCCAUCCAGAAGUCCCAGCCUGGAGCCAGAGGCUGCUAUUACAAGUCAGAUGGGAGAUGGCCUACAGUAUGUUAGGCAUCAGAAAAGUGGUGUACGCAUGAAGGCAGAGCUGCCGCAGGCAACGAUGAGAUUAGACACUUGACAUUUACUGCGAAAGGUACCAUCAGAGCACCUCUCCCUACCCUGCAGGAUACCUAUACCAGAAGAGUACAACAACAGCCCAAAAGUAUUUCAAAAGACAUUUCACGCUCUGACCACGGACUGUUUAAACCACUGAGGUCAAGCAGACAUCUCUGUUCCCACGUGGCAGACUGAGGGAACACCCACAAAACAGACUGGGGAUGAGUUUCUUUGCUCCGCAUCCUGUACACACACAACUCCUUAUACUACAUUACAUAGACUUGCCAUACUGCACUUACACACACUGCGCUUUUAACCCCCUUAUCUGUGUCAAAUCAUGUGUUCAAACCAUGUCUACUGUUGUCUGUCAACAUCCACUUCAGUCAUACAUUUGAAAUGUCUUAAAUAAAUAACAAAAGUUAAAAUUGUUUUAUUGUCUGCAGUUAACUGAAAUAUUUUAGAAUAUGAGUUAUUCUAUUAAUGAUGGCUAAUGUAAGUUCAAUUGAAUUCACAGUAUUUAACUGACCCAGCUUCUACAGGGAAACAACCAAUACUGUAAAUACAACUAAAAAAAAAAAAUCUUAAUUUAAAAUCAGUUGUUUUUCAUUUUACAGUGAAUAUAUAAAAUACUGUAAAUGGAAAUGCGGGA